rnacentral:lncRNA from 13 species
AUGGAGCGGAUAUUUGGACUAAUCCAGGUUCAGCCCUCUGUAGUUUUUGCUGGCAGUGGAAUUGGGGGGUUAGAGGUCCUGACAGCACUAAAUCCCUUUUUAUCUCUUCUUCUCUUUGUUAUGGUUUGCAGUGGAUUUGCAGUGCCAUGGUGUCCGAGUGUGGGGCAGGAUCCAGGUGUUGGGGGAUGCACGAAGGGGAGCUUUAAGCCAGAAAAGGACUUGAAUCGUGGUCGUCUUCACCUCAGGACAAGUUUGGUAUUCACAGAGCGGCGUCAGCCCUGCAUAUGCCCCGGGUGGUGCUGAGUGCUGGGGAGAUCCUGCAGACCUGCUGCUUAAACCACACUGAUAAAGUCUCCAGGCCUCUUCCUUGGGGAGGUGAAUUGUGGUGUGAUGGUGCCUCUUCCAAAGGCAGGGUCAGACAGGGAGCAGGGAAAGGUCAGGACUGUGACCCUCGCUGUCAGUACUGUGAACACAUGGAUCCUUUCCAGCUCCUUGAUGGGAAAACCUGGAGCUGAGCACCCACCUUGUCCCUUGAAAGGACAAGUGGAGCUGGGAGGCAGCAUCCCCUUACACCAGCAGUUUGGGAAGUGGGAACGCUGUCCUCUCCAGGGGUCAGCACUGGUGGGUGGCCCUGAGGUGGCCAUGACUCUGUGGGAAGAAUUCUGAUGGGCAGAGGAUGGGAAAUGGGUGGAGGGCAGAACAAUGCAGGGGGGACAGGAGGAUGGAGUUUGUCAUUGUUGCAGAUUUCUCAUUAGGACUUUGGUUUCAUGAUAAAAACUCCCAAAAACUGGCAGAGGUGUAAUAGGAAAAAAACUUGUCUGUGUUCUAGGAAGGUUUUCUCCUGUGGGACACAGUACCCCAGCUGGUGUUUGCACUGAGACCAAGAUGUGGAUCUGGACUCCUUGGAGACUGAUAUGAGGGAAUUUAUCAGCAGAUAGCAGGUGAGUGAAACUAGGUGUUUUCUGAUAGAUGUGACUGUGAUUUAGAGUGAUUGAUGUGAUGGCUGCUGUCAGUUUGUUUGGCCAAAUGUCCCAAGCCUGGAACUUGGGGCAUUCAGGAAGAAUUUCUUCAUGGAAAAGGUUGUUAAGCAUUGGAAGGGGUUGUUAAGCAUUGGAUGGAGUCCCCAUCCCUGGAGGUGUUCAAGAAAAAACUGGGUGUGGCACUUGGUGCUCUGGGCUGGGUGACACGGUGGGGAUUAAUCACAAGUUGGACUGGGCUGGAAAAGACUUUCAAGAUCAUCAAAAUGAUUCAGUGAUUCUGUUUUAUGAAGGGUCCCUGCUUCUUCCUGCUGUGGCUUUGAGGCCUGCUGUGCCUGGGGAUCUCCCUUGUUCCUCUGACAGCUACAGGUGUCCGUGGGGAUUCAGGUCUUGGCUUUUCCAGGAGGUCAAAUUCACUGUGUUAAGGCUUGGCUGGAAAAAUGAGUACAAAUCAACUAUAAGCCAUAAUCUGGAGUGAGUCCUCCUGCUUAACUCUUGGGCUUUCUGGUGAAAGCAUCUCCACGUGCCUCGGAGGCAGGCACUGAGCAAAUAAAAAUACAUCUGCUCUGUGAGAAAGGCUUUAUUUCUCUUCUUCCAUUGAAAGUGCAGUGCUGCUUUAUUGUUCCUCAAACACAGCUUUCCUUUUAUGAGCCAUAAAUGACGUUCAGGUGUAGCACAGUGACUUUAAAUCAGCUCCUCUGGCAUUAUGAAGAUAAUGUACUGUAAGAAACACCCAACUGGCCCCUUUCUCCUUGUGCUAAUUCAUGGUUUCAGUGCUGCUGACUUUAGGUACUCUCCUUUCACGAGUUCACUGAGCAUAAAAGCCAGUUAAAAUUCCUAAGAAGCAAGAAAUAACUCAGCUGUGAGCAAUAUUGAAGCCCGUGGGGGCGGGGGCAAGUGCUGCCAAAGCCCAGCUCUUAAUUCUGUUUCUGAGAGUUUCUCCAUGAGAAGAGUGGAGCUGGUACUUUAAAAAGUGAAGGGGUGUGGGGCUGAGCAGGGCAUGAUGUGAUCAGGAUGGGUUUUGGGGGGAAUUGGUGUGUGCAGAGCCCAGGGUUUGCUUUUAGCCUCCCUGCUCCAUUAGGAUGUGUGGCUGAAGAGCAUCUGAGCCAGACUCUGCUCUGACUUACACCCCGGAUUUACAGUAGGAUAAUGCUGCUGAUUUAAAAGGAGCUCUCUGGGAUUUAUAGGGCUUUUUAUAAGUAGGAUCAGGAAAUGCAGCCAUAAUCCUGUGCAGAUGUAGGGGUGUGAGUGGCGACGUGUGCAUCUGCAUGGCCAAUGCAGUAAUACCCACGCCUGGCCAAAAUGCAGAGAUGAAAUCGCGGCAGCACAGCGGAGAAUGACCAUGGCAGUUUGCUCCCAGAUAAGUACUUGUGUUACAGGGUUAUAAUGGGUUUCAAACCAGGCUCCCAGAGAUCCUGGGAUGGAUAAGCCAGCUGGAACUCUAAAACAUGUGGCUGGCUUUCCAACACCCACUGUCACGAGGAAAAUCAGCCUCCUUCCACUCUGGUAGUUGCUGUUUGAAAGCAAUUCUUUCUUUUUUCUUCAUGGAAGUCUUAAUUUUAUUAUGUGAAAUAAGUGCAAGGCCUUAGCUAAGGGAAAUGCUCUAACUUCAUAGUGCCAAGGAGAUACCAACAUCCCAGUGAUGUGGAUCUAGGGAGACUCCUCAAUCCUCAAAUAUUGAGCAGGAUGGUGCUGGAGUGAGCAUCAGAGUAACGCUUUUUGGGGUUUUUACCUUACCAAACAGGUACAAGAAAGCACUGGGAAACCAACCAGACCCUCAGCACACGAUGCUUCUUGUCAUCUUCUGGUUUGAAGCCAACGCUGAUGAUGGAUGGUGCCUCUUGCCUUUAGGUUAAGGGGGGAAAAUAAACCCCGAGCCCCUCUCGUGUUUGCUGUCUGUACAGUGCUAUUUCCACACUAAAGAAAAAGAGUUAAAUUACAUUUUAACAGAACAAUACUGACAACAGCAAAGGUCGGGAAACUUUUACGUAAGGUCACCGUAUCGAUUGCAGCAGUGAAAGGAGACACAUCAAAUACUUGGCCAUGAAAGGCUGAAAAGAAGUAAAUUCAGCAUGAGAUAUUGAAACCCAAGCCUCUUUCAUAUGUGGCAGAGCCUCUGACAUAGCAGGUUUACUGUUCAAGCUGAGAUAUGUUGCCUUGCCAACAUAUAUUCUGAGUUACCCAAGCAGAUUUAAUGUUUUUGCAGUGGUGACUUUUCCCUUUUUUUUUUUUUUUUAAUGAAGGGGGGGGACUAUGCUUUUCUUUUUCUUUUCAAAAAAGAAAAAAAUUGUUGCAGAAGAUUUCAAACCUACCUAGGAAAUGACCUUAAUCAAUUUAGUUCCACCGAUGAGUAUGAAAACUCAGAUCUUUCUUUUUGC